AUACGUAGGGGGCGAGCGUUGUCCGGAAUGAUUGGGCGUAAAGGGCGCGUAGGCGGCGCGGUAAGUCUGGAGUGAAAGUCCUGCUUUCAAGGUGGGAAUUGCUUUGGAUACUGCCGCGCUUGAGUGCAGGAGAGGUUAUCGGAAUUCCCGGUGUAGCGGUGAAAUGCGUAGAGAUCGGGAGGAACACCGGUGGCGAAGGCGACUUACUGGACUGUAACGGACGCUGAGGCGCGAAAGUGUGGGUAGCAAACAGGAUUAGAUACCCUGGUAGUCCACACUGUAAACGAUGAAUGCUAGGUGUAGGGGGUAUCGACCCCUUCUGUGCCGCAGUCAACACAAUAAGCAUUCCGCCUGGGGAGUACGGCCGCAAGGUUGAAACUCAAAUGAAUUGACGGGG
rnacentral:rRNA from 1 species